rnacentral:lncRNA from 1 species
AAGAAUGAGUUCAUAAGCCUGCCCGAAGUCAUAACUGGUCUUAAUGAUUAUGUCGCAAUUUUUUGUUUGGAAAGUACUGUUCAACUCCUUGAGGCUGAGGACUGCGAUCACUUCUUGACGCUUGGAGGGGAGGAGUAAAAGUUCCCAUUGGCUUCGGAGUUAGGUUCCCAAGAGAAAAUUGGGAAUGUGAGAGCGGUGAAGCGGAGUAUUUUUAGGAGACUCUGGGCUACAUCUGGUGUAAAGUACAUUCAGCAGCUUGCGAAGGAAAGGCUGGAGCGGGAGAAGGAAGCGGCAGCCAAGCUCAAAGCUGAGGAGAAAGGUUAUGAUGAGCUGGUGCACCUUAGAUUGGGUAGAGUGCUGGAGGCUGAGGGAUUCUUGUAAAAAACUCUUUGAAAAAGACAUAUGUUUGUCUUCUAAUAGUGUUAUAGUUGUGGUGCUUGUUGAUGCUUGAAUUGUGGUCGGAGUGGUUUGACGUUUAUUUUCUAGGGAUGUGUAAAUGUGUUUUUGCUUAUUUGUGAAGUGUUGUGCUUACUUUUUUUUUUGUGGUUUCCUGCGUACUUGUGCUUUUUGUUUUGCAGGGGCUUGGAGCUUUUCUUUUAAAAUGUCACCCCCCCCCGAUCUGUGGGAGGUGAGAGGGGGAGACAGGCCGAAGCCGGGGUCCUGUUAGAUAAGGAACUUGGGCAGAUUGUUACUCAGGACGUUUCCCGUCGUUAUGGUGCAUUGCACUUGUGGCCAGGGGAUGGAAAAGAAUACAUGGCGAGGAGAAGAAAGGUUAUGACCAAAGGUGGAAACUUUGUAAUAUUUUGAUUCUUUUUUGGAAGAAAAUGGCUGGAGCGCGCUUUAUUCUACAAAGUAGAUAAGUCGGUACAAAACUCGAAACUGGGUUUUGCUGACUUAGAAGGUAACAAGAGUUUGGUUGAUAUCGCAACUUAGGGUUGCUUCAACCUUAGAGUUUGUGUUGUGACUUUUCUUGGUGUAAAGUGUUUUGCUAGAGCUUUCGUGAAUAGGGUGGCAGGUCGAAGCUUCGAGUAGUCCUCGCGGAGGGCGGAGGAUUGAUUUUGCCAAAAGGAAUUGCCCCCUCUUUAGGUUUGUUUCGCCCGGCCGAAGUUGC